rnacentral:lncRNA from 1 species
GAACUCUAUGAAAUCAUUUACCUUACACUUACUCUAGCCCAACAGGCAGAGCAGAACAGCCCUUGCAGAGCUUCAGCCCACCAGACUGGAUUGCUUCCAGUUUCUGAGCUAGCGAAUUAAAUUUCUCUUGGGCAGUGAGAUGUCACAGUGCAGUCUGCAACACAGGUCAGAUCCCAGGAGCCCCCAGUACUCUGGACAAACAAAAUGAAACAGAAAAAAAAGCAAAACGAAAAGGUCCUUGCCUGCAGUCUAACUCCACUUUACUUACAGUAUUAUGACCAUACUCAUUUAACAAUACCAGAAGCGUGUCUCCGAUGGAACAUCUUUCUCCGCUAAAAGAAUGAAAUAUUUUUCUAUAUCUAGUUUUACAUCUGUGUCAACUGAGGUAUACGAAAAACAAGCAAUCUGAUGAGAUUCACAGGGGGGUUUCUUUCAACUUUCUGUUCUCGCUACUUCAUUUGGAGAUUGUCAUCAUUGAGUAUUUCCAAUUCAGACUGCUCCAUGGACAAGCCUUUUAAAGAGCAGAACAGAAGGAAAAUUGUGAAGGCUUCCAGCUGCUCAGCUGAAAGCUGAAGAUGAUCUGGUGUG